CAGUUUAGCUCGAUAAUAAAAUUGAAUGUUACUUCGAACACGUUCCUCUACAAAAUAACCGACCUGUAUUUAGUGUUAUUGCUUCAACAUCAAUCGAAAAAAAUGGCAUCAAUGUACAGUAUGCGUCUAAAAAUGUUAAAUUUAGAUGGAGACAAUCCAGAAAUGAGCUGCCAGGAAGUGAUCGAUUUCGGACACGAAGAAACCAUAUUGAGGAGCUGGUCCACCUGUAGGAAGAAUUGCGCUAUUGGUUGGAGCAGCACUAUUCCCCAGCCAUACACCAGCACUUAGUUUGUCAUAGGGAGCAUUUCUGAGCAGUUAUGGAGACCACUAACUAUGCAGUUGUUGCAGUGAAACUUGCACCAGUGUGUUUUCUGUGGAAAUAAAGAGACAGUGUCCGGCAAUGAAGACCCAACUCAAGAUCUGACCUUGUAAGGCCAAUAUGAAAUAACUCUGUUGAAAAAUGGGAAAAAGCUGCAGUCAGGAAUGCACGGAAAUCAUCAAAAGAACAGUGUUAAAUUAAUCUUGAAUAACUUAACAUUUAUUUUGUUUGACAUAUUUAUUCAUGGUGCAGUGAAAACAUGUUUUUUUUUCUUCAUGGUUAUUUAAAUUUAGAAUUGAUAGGAGGGAACAUCGCUAUGUAGUUUCAUGUUCAUAGUCAGAUCAAAACCCAUGUACAUGUAUAAAUGAGCAUUCGAAAAUAUCAAAAUGGAACUUGUUGUAUGUAGUGUAAGUUAAUUAACAUAAUAAACAAAAAUAUUUAAUCAAUUUCAAUUUAUUAUGCCCCCUUCAAAGAAGAAGAGUAUAUUGCACAUGUUGGCUGCUACGUCCGUCUGUCUGACAGUAGACCAAAGCUUUUCCAG